GGUAUGAAUCAAGAUCAAGGUCACUCCAGCUUGGGCAAAAGUGUAUAAGCCUCUACAUAGAGUUUUUCAUUCCUUUCUUCAAUUAGACAAUGAUUCUGGAAGCUUCUGGCCUGAUCCCUGAGCUUCGAUAGCAGUUCAUCUCAAAGCCACAAGUCAAGGUUAUGGGUGUUGGCAGAAGGAAGGAGACACCAGGAUCAAGAACAAAGGGCUUUAUCACUCAAGACAAAAGCAUUAGCCAGACUUUCCUGUUGGUUUUCAUUGGUCAUCCAUGCUUUCCAAGUCUCCCAGGAUGAUGCAAAAGGCCCAUGAUGGAUGGCUAAACACAUGGUGGUUUCUACUACAGGAGGAGACCACAAAGCCUGUGGAUGCACCAUCUUUCUAGUAAGCUGCGACAAGACUGCUCUUUGUCUGGGGGGAAUAUUACCUCAUCUCUCAAGAUUGCUCACUGAAAACAUAACCUUGAGAAAUGAUCUAGAUAAAGAGCCAUCAGAGCCUCACAAUUUGAUGCAACUAGCAAAAACAUGCAAGCAUAUUCAAAGCCCUGAGAGACUGUCUCUCCUCAAGCAAUUUACCAAGGACUUACGAAUUACACAGGAAAUGGUAGCUAUUACCAUGAAUCUCAUGAAACUCAAUCGUGAAAGAGUACCUUCCCCCAUUUUUUAGACACGUGUUAUUUGCAACCACUCUGGGGGUGGCUCUCUGUUAAAUGUAAGAACUGUUAGAUCAGGAGAUGUACUUCYAAAAGCAAGCAGUACCAAACCACUAGCAGGAAGUUGUGCUCUUUGAAUUGCCUGGCCAGAUCUGACAAUGGCUGUCUACCCACCAACGCAACGCAGUGUCUGUAUGCAGAAUACCUCGGUGUCACUGACACACCAGGUAAGGAGCUCAAUGGUUCAUUCACUAUUUCACUAAAAUAUUUAAUGAGGCUUUGUACCUGCCAGGCACUGUUUCAGUUCUUGGGAAUACAAUUGCAGAAAUGAUGGAGUUUGAAUAGGUUACUGGGACUUUCUUAUUCAUCCAUUUAUUCAGAAACAUACUAAGUACGUACUAUGAGUCAAUGCCUGGUUGGUGCUAGUUAGGUACUAAGGUCAUUGUUAGGUGCUAAGGACAUUGCUCUCAAAGGACUACAAACUCGUGAAAARGAGGUUAAAAAGUGUUUAUAGUGCAGAGUAAUAAUUAUCAAAGAGUGGUGCAUUCAGCCUUGAGAGCCUGGGAAAGAGGGUCCCUGGAAGAACUAAAAGUGAAAAAGAAAUGUGAARGAAGGGAGCGAGGGUAGUCCAAGUACCUCACUUGUAAAUUGGGAAUAACGCUAYCUUACUCUUGGGGAUACCUUGAAGGUGCAGUGAGAGAUAUUCACAAGGAAGUUCCAGCCUAGCACACGAGGGUAGGCACUGGACUUUGUUUUCUGKGUCUGUCAUCACACACACAGGAGCUGACCAGGACCUGUGUUUGUCAGCCUGCAGCUGAUGACCYGUGAAACCAAAAGCCCAAAGAGGAAGUAUUCUUUGUCUCCAGCUUCACUAGCACCAGAAUCCARCAAAUAACCUGGUCCAUACACUGGCCUUGGAAAGGCGCCUGCAGUGCUGGCUACUUCAUUCGGGAAUUUCACCCUGUGGUAAAGACGGCACCAAACACAAUUUUUCUCCUAAAGUGAUUUCCUCCCCCAUCGCCUCUUCCCUCACCAAGUGAUUUAUGUCUCAUUGAGGGCCUUUUCCUCUUCAGAACCCAUCUGGCCUUCCUGUCUCAGCCUGCAGGGAGGGUGUAAUCCUGUGUUGCAGCAUUACAGACGGUUUCUAUGGAAAUUAUGACAAUAUUUCAGCUAUUGUGGAGCCACAUCACUGCUGAUUGAAUAAGAAGGGACUUGAAAGGGGAAAUUUGGAAUUCAAUAUCAACAACCUAAGUCCUUAGAGACAAUGUCUAGUUUUCAUCAAGUUGUUUCUAUCAACAGUAACAAACAAUAACAAACUAAUAUUAUCAUACAAAGGCAGAUUAUUUCUCAAACMCUUUGUUUAGAUGACACAGUAGAGAUAGAGUCAGGCCCUGUGCAAAUGCUUACAGCAAUAUUCAGAAAUGAGAGCCAAGGAAAAUUCUAGAUAAGCGUUAGAGAAUGGAGUAACUGAGUGCUUCAGAUCUCCACUGUGUCACCCAAGAGAGGCUGCAACUGCUUAUGAUUCGGAAUGUUUAUUAACUGUUCUCUCAAAUCAGCAGAAGAAAUUGGGAAACACGAAGCUUGUUUGGGGAAAAGGAGUGGUCAGCGCCCAUUAAUAGUUCCCAAAUGCUGAGAUGGGAAAAAAGUAAGCAUAAAACUGUAGCUCCACUUAGAUUUCCCCACUAGCAUUAUUUCUGACUUUUUGUGUGGCUCUUAUUUUUUUAAAAAUACUUUUACAGUUUGCUGUGUUCCAUUACAGGUUUGAUCUGUUUUUUAAUUUUUAUUUUAUUAUUUUUUUUACUCAAAUAUGUUUUGACAUUGAUUUCUUUGUAAGAGAAAUUGUACUGCCUUUAUUCAAUUACAAAUGUAGUACAAGGCAUUGUACACAAUGUGGAAAAUGUACUGAAGUAAUAGAAGAAAACACAAGUUACCUAUUAUCCCUCUGCUUAGAAAUACACCCCUGCUGAGUUUUGUUAAAUUUCUAUUUCAUUUCAUUUUUGACUUGACCAAGAAUGUGGGUUGAAAGGAAUAGAAAGAAUUCUGGCUUUGCAAGCUGUUUGAACUUGUGCAGGCUGUUGAACCUCUAAACCUCAGUUUUUCUACCUAAGGAACUGAAAAAUUCUACCUUCAGAGGGUUGAGGGACUAGAUAAACCAAGGGUAUGUCUGUCACAACAUUAUUCCUCUCCGGCAUCAUCUUUAACAACUCUAUAGUACUUGAUCACACAAAUAUGCUGUGAUUUAUUUACCAUAUCUUAUUCAUAUUCAGUUGUUUUAUAUAUUUACUAUUAAAUAAAACACACAGGGUACUUCUUAAAAAUAAUCUCCAGUCCUUGUGUUUUCUAUGUAUUAUUCAGCAAAUGAAUUUGAUUCAACUAAUUUAUAUUGAACAUAAUGAGCACCUGUGACUGUGGUGCACACUGAGGAAAAGCAGUGCRGAGCAUGUCUCCUGCCCAGGGAGGAGUGGGUAGAGACAGUAGAACAGCAUUCUGCUGGGAAAGAAGAAACCUGGGUCUUGGCUCCCUCCUCCCAAUUGCCUUCUACCAGCUGUAACUUGGGCAAGUGACCUGAUUUUUCUUCUCUAAUCUGUAAAAUAGAUAAAAUUAUAGUACUGCCUUCUGAGGAUUUUUAUGAGUAGGAUGAAAUUAAUAAAUGUAAAUUUUUUAGAGUGCCUGGCACAGCACUAUUCAAAAUAACUAAAAAGUGGAAACAUUCUMAUGUCCUUCAACUGAUGAGUAGAGAAACAAAAUCUGAUAUAUCCAUAUAAUGGGAYAUUAUCCAGCCAUAAGAGGAAUAGUAGUGAUACACGUGGGAACUGAGAUGAACCUUGGAAACAUUAUAGCAAGUAAACCCAAAGUCCAAAGCUUUCAUACCAUAUGAUCAUUUAUAUAAACUAUACCGAAKAUGCAAAUCCAUAGAGAAAGCAGAACAGUGAUUGCCAGAGACUGAGGAGGGAGGGGAAGAAUGAAGAGUGCUUGACCAGGACGGUCUUCUAUUUUGGGGGGUGGGGGGUAUACCAGGGAUUGAGUUUAGAGGCACUCAACCGCUGAGCCACAU